rnacentral:rRNA from 1 species
UGGCUCAGGAUGAACGCUAGCUACAGGCUUAACACAUGCAAGUCGAGGGGCAUCAGGAAGAAAGCUUGCUUUCUUUGCUGGCGACCGGCGCACGGGUGAGUAACACGUAUCCAACCUGCCCUUUACUCGGGGAUAGCCUUUCGAAAGAAAGAUUAAUACCCGAUAGUAUAAUGAUUCCGCAUGGUUUCAUUAUUAAAGGAUUCCGGUAAAGGAUGGGGAUGCGUUCCAUUAGGUUGUUGGUGAGGUAACGGCCCACCAAGCCUUCGAUGGAUAGGGGUUCUGAGAGGAAGGUCCCCCACAUUGGAACUGAGACACGGUCCAAACUCCUACGGGAGGCAGCAGUGAGGAAUAUUGGUCAAUGGGCGCUAGCCUGAACCAGCCAAGUAGCGUGAAGGAUGAAGGCUCUAUGGGUCGUAAACUUCUUUUAUAUAAGAAUAAAGUGCAGUAUGUAUACUGUUUUGUAUGUAUUAUAUGAAUAAGGAUCGGCUAACUCCGUGCCAGCAGCCGCGGUAAUACGGAGGAUCCGAGCGUUAUCCGGAUUUAUUGGGUUUAAAGGGAGCGUAGGUGGACUGGUAAGUCAGUUGUGAAAGUUUGCGGCUCAACCGUAAAAUUGCAGUUGAUACUGUCAGUCUUGAGUACAGUAGAGGUGGGCGGAAUUCGUGGUGUAGCGGUGAAAUGCUUAGAUAUCACGAAGAACUCCGAUUGCGAAGGCAGCUCACUGGACUGCAACUGACACUGAUGCUCGAAAGUGUGGGUAUCAAACAGGAUUAGAUACCCUGGUAGUCCACACAGUAAACGAUGAAUACUCGCUGUUUGCGAUAUACAGUAAGCGGCCAAGCGAAAGCAUUAAGUAUUCCACCUGGGGAGUACGCCGGCAACGGUGAAACUCAAAGGAAUUGACGGGGGCCCGCACAAGCGGAGGAACAUGUGGUUUAAUUCGAUGAUACGCGAGGAACCUUACCCGGGCUUAAAUUGCAGUGGAAUGAUGUGGAAACAUGUCAGUGAGCAAUCACCGCUGUGAAGGUGCUGCAUGGUUGUCGUCAGCUCGUGCCGUGAGGUGUCGGCUUAAGUGCCAUAACGAGCGCAACCCUUAUCUUUAGUUACUAACAGGUUAUGCUGAGGACUCUAGAGAGACUGCCGUCGUAAGAUGUGAGGAAGGUGGGGAUGACGUCAAAUCAGCACGGCCCUUACGUCCGGGGCUACACACGUGUUACAAUGGGGGGUACAGAAGGCAGCUAGCGGGUGACCGUAUGCUAAUCCCAAAAGCCUCUCUCAGUUCGGAUCGAAGUCUGCAACCCGACUUCGUGAAGCUGGAUUCGCUAGUAAUCGCGCAUCAGCCACGGCGCGGUGAAUACGUUCCCGGGCCUUGUACACACCGCCCGUCAAGCCAUGGGAGCCGGGGGUACCUGAAGUACGUAACCGCAAGGAUCGUCCUAGGGUA